rnacentral:rRNA from 1 species
UACAGAGGUCUCAAGCGUUGUUCGGAUUCAUUGGGCGUAAAGGGUGUGUAGGUGGCGCCGUUAGUCGGGUGUGAAAUUUCGGAGCUUAACUCCGAAACUGCAUUCGAUACUGCGGUGCUUGAGGACUGGAGAGGAGACUGGAAUUCAUGGUGUAGCAGUGAAAUGCGUAGAGAUCAUGAGGAAGACCAGUGGCGAAGGCGGGUCUCUGGACAGUUCCUGACACUGAGGCACGAAAGCUAGGGGAGCAAACAGG